AGCUAAACCCGAUUAAAAUGAAAAUCCUUUUUAUAUUUUCAAAGUUGCUAACCCCAAUGGACGAAAUGAUAUUAGGGUUAGCAACUUAAUAUAAAAAGAUUGUAAUGUAAGCGGGGCGAAAU
rnacentral:sRNA from 1 species